rnacentral:rRNA from 1 species
AAUACCGCAUACGUCCUACGGGAGAAAGCAGGGGGCCUUCGGGCCUUGCGCUAUCAGAUGAGCCUAGGUCGGAUUAGCUAGUGGGUGAGGUAAUGGCUCACCAAGGCUACGAGCCGUAACUGGUCUGAGAGGAUGGUCAGUCACACUGGAAGGGAGACACGGUCCAGACUCCUGCGGGAGGCAGCAGUGGGGAAUAUUGGACAAUGGGCGAAAGCCUGAUCCAAAGGGGCCGCGGGUGUGAAGAAGGUCUUCGGA